GACGAACGCUGGCGGCGUGCUUAACACAUGCAAGUCGAACGGUAAGGCCCCAGCUUGCUGGGGUACACGAGUGGCGAACGGGUGAGUAACACGUGGGUGACCUGCCCCGCACUUCGGGAUAAGCCUGGGAAACUGGGUCUAAUACCAGAUAGGACCGCACCGUGAGGGUGUGGUGGAAAGUUUUUCGGUGUGGGAUGGGCCCGCGGCCUAUCAGCUUGUUGGUGGGGUAAUGGCCUACCAAGGCGGCGACGGGUAGCCGGCCUGAGAGGGUGGACGGCCACAUUGGGACUGAGACACGGCCCAGACUCCUACGGGAGGCAGCAGUGGGGAAUAUUGCACAAUGGGCGGAAGCCUGAUGCAGCGACGCCGCGUGGGGGAUGACGGCCUUCGGGUUGUAAACUCCUUUCACCAUCGACGAAGGUUUUCUGACGGUAGAUGGAGAAGAAGCACCGGCUAACUACGUG
rnacentral:rRNA from 1 species